rnacentral:tRNA from 1 species
GCCCAGAUAGCUCAGUAGGUAGAGCAGGGGAUUGAAAAUCCCUGUGUCGGCGGUUCAAUUCCGUCUCUGGGCACCA